UGGCCUGCACCCGCGGCUCUCCUUCCCCUCCUUGGACGCCACAUAUUCUUCUCAUUAUUCUCUCAUCCCUUCCACUUCACCUCCCAGCUCCCCUUCGAUUUCCGCAAUCCCCGCAUCCUACGCCGCACCAAGGCACUGCCUAUUGUUUCACGAUUCCUGCAACUCAACGCCGCUAUCUCCUGAUUUGAUUGUAGGCAUCAUCCUUUCCGUCGAAGGAAUGAUCAUGCGGCCACCUCCAUGCACCCGAAUCAGCAUGUGUGCACGCCAUUCGUCUGCUCUGGGCCCUCCUCGCAUCGGCGACCUCGGACGCGAUGCUCCGCUCCGCUCCGAACCUUCCUCGCGCUGGCGUCAUCGGACGCACCAGAUGCGGCCGUCGCCGUUGCGACCCCGAUUCUAGCGGGACGCUCUACUCCAGGCCUGCCGGCGGCCUCGGAUGCGUCGGCCAUCCCCGCGCAGCCCAAUGAGCCUGUGCGCACGAGUUGCUCUGCUCCGGGAUCUCCUCGCGCUGAUGGCCUCAGAUGCACCAGACGCGGCCAUCCCCGCCGCGGCCCGGUCCCAGCGGGAUGAGUUCUGGAAGGAGAAGCUCGCUGACCCGCUGCCUCCUAGCCGUCGCUAUCAACGCCCGCAAGCACAACCUGAAGAAGAGCGUUAUCAUCUCUUCUCCUCAUGAUUGGCCCGUAUCUUCAUUCACUUAUUAGCUGUUGUAGUUUUGGACUUCUUGUGGUGCUUUGGAUGAUUAAUCUUCUUUCAUUUUUGUUGGAUUUCUGUGGUCUGCACUGGUCUGAUGAAGAUAGAUCGAUAUCCAUGGUCUGAGGUGCUUGCUAGCUUCAACUGGACGAGGACGGCGACCUACGGACUACGACAAGAAUUCUUCUGCAGUUGAAGGUCAUGUACCCCUGUUGUUCUUCAGUAGUUUUUCUCUGUGCAACCUUACAUGCUACAGGCACACACGGUUCCUAUACAUUGCUACUUUUGCAUAUUUGGGUGCUUGAUUAAUUAUAUCCAAACUAAAUUUUGUUCGACAGUCAUUGCCCAGUCCCAGAUGCUCAUGUUUCCGUGUGUUGUUUCUUGGAGAGGAUAUCGUUCUUCAAAUAUGGAAGGGUCUAACAAUGAAUCAAUUCUUCUUCAUGUGCAACCUAACCUACUUCCCAAAUUCAUAUAUAACCAUCUGGCAGGUCUGGUAUGUACGAGCCCCAUCCCAUCCCUUACCAAAGUUUUGAUUUUAUUUGCAUUACACAUGCACUUUGCAUCUAAUUAUGCAUAUCUUAGAUGGUAAAAUCAUUUGAUUUGUUACAUGUGUUACAUAGCCCAUCGGAUAAUCUUGCUGCGCAGCCAUACAAAUAUUUUUAAGCUGUGGUUUAAUUAUUUACCUUUGGUCAGAAAGAAAACACAUAAGCUUAUAGACUUCAUGUAGCAUCAUUUUGGUGCAUUAUUUGCAUUUUUUUAACCAUGCAGGAGAACUACAUGUCAUAUAUUGAGACAGAAAGCAAGUACAAGGGUAGUACAAACGGUGAUGACCGGUCAAGAGGCAAAACAGGGAGCAGGAAGCCUAAGUGCUUUGCCCAAGGGACAAAACAGGGAGCAGGGAGCCUAAUUGCUUUGCUCCAGCCUGAACUCAUAAAUGACAUUCAGAUUUAUAAAAUCAACAAGCUUUAGAAGUGGAAGAUGGGCAAUGUGAAAGACUAUAUUGUUUGCUCAUUCUAGAUGGACCAAACGACCAAGGCGACUACAGAGUUAAACCAUUUUUUCCUCGCAGCAGCAGUCCACCAAUAUUUUAAAGUGGAGUUCAUCUACCGUUGGAGGGGCUGUAGGCUGGCCCAGCUAAGCGCGGCAUGCCAAACCAUACUGACAACCGCACAGCCAAAGAACAAAUGGUCAGCGUCUUCGUCAUGCCCGCUACAAAAUGCACAACUAUGAUCGUGCGGUAGCCCUCUCUUUGCAAGAUACUUGCGAAGGAACAGCCAUAAGGAAGAUUUUAUACUUGAGAGGAGACCAGGUCUUCCAAAUACCAUCCUCACAUUGAAAGAAGAUGGCUGGAGCGAACAGUGCUUGAAGAACUAACUUUUUAUAAUAGUGAACCAUCUGCUUUUUAUACCUCUUGACACCACUAGAUACUGCUAUGAUUAUUUGAAUGCCCUCUUAGUAGUAAUUUUAUUUGCUCAAUUA